rnacentral:tRNA from 1 species
GCGCCCUUAGCUCAGUGGAUUAGAGCGACUGGCUUCGGACCAGUAGGUCGGGGGUUCGAAUCCCUCAGGGCGUACCA